rnacentral:rRNA from 1 species
GACGAACGCUGGCGGCGUGCUUAACACAUGCAAGUCGAACGGUGAACUCCGCUUGCGGGGGGAUCAGUGGCGAACGGGUGAGUAACACGUGGGCAACCUGCCCUCAGCUCUGGGAUAACUCCAAGAAAUUGGGGCUAAUACCGGAUAUGACCGCUGACCGCAUGGUCUGGUGGUGGAAAGAUUUAUCGGCUGGGGAUGGGCCCGCGGCCUAUCAGCUUGUUGGUGGGGUAGUGGCCUACCAAGGCGACGACGGGUAGCCGGCCUGAGAGGGUGUCCGGCCACACUGGGACUGAGACACGGCCCAGACUCCUACGGGAGGCAGCAGUGGGGAAUAUUGCGCAAUGGGCGAAAGCCUGACGCAGCGACGCCGCGUGGGGGAUGACGGCCUUCGGGUUGUAAACCUCUUUCAGCAGGGACGAAGCGAAAGUGACGGUACCUGCAGAAGAAGCACCGGCCAACUACGUG